ensembl:ncRNA F55A12.16 ncRNA
AAACGAAGAGACUCAGAUAGUGAAUAGUUUUGCGGACACCUAUAGACGGUGCGCCUCUUUCGGUGACUGCAUACAAUACAAUAUUUGUUCUCUCUUUCUAUUCCAUUCUCCAUCUCUUCCCGCACACCUUUCUUUUCCAUUUUCAAUCCA